CCGGCGAGUCCGCGAGUGUGGUUAUGCGGCUCUUUCUGGAUGAGAGGACACAGCGGCGUCCUGCCCUCGGCCUGAGCGAUGCUAAGAAGCUGUGCUACGCGCCUGCGCGCUCUUGGUGUCCCGCCUGCGAGGAGGCCCGGAGCAGUGUGGAGGUUAUUUUCCUCUGAGAAAGUCAUUCCCAAGGACUAUGGUCUCCCAAACCCCAGCUGGAGCAAGGAUCUAAGACUCCUCUUUGACCAGUUCAUGAAGAAGUGUGAAGAUGGCUCCUGGAAACGUUUGCCUUCAUACAGACAAAAUCCUACGCAAACCCUUAAAGACUUCCAAACCCGUUUUGUUGACCCCAGGUUUGUGAAUGAAGAACAAAUGUCAAAGGCCCAACAGUUCAGCAGAAGCUUAGAGGAAGGCCUGGGCUUUGAGUAUGUGAUGUUCUAUAAUAAAGUGGAGAAGAAGAUGGUUUGCUUGUUUCAAGGAGGUCUUCACCUGCAAGGGGUGCCUGGAUUUGUUCACGGAGGUGCCAUUGCCACCAUCAUUGAUGUCACUACUGGCAUGUGUGCAAUUGCUGAGGGAGUUGCCAUGACUGCCAACCUCAACAUCAACUAUAAAAAACCUAUCCCCCUUUGUUCUGUUGUGGUGGUAACCAGCCAACUUAGUAAGACUGAAGGAAGGAAACUUUUUAUUUCCUGCACUGUUCAGAGUGUUGAUGAGAAGACUCUAUACACACAGGCAACAGCUUUAUUUAUAAAACUGGAUCCUGACAAACGUUUGACAUAAAGAACUUCUGUUGAACUCCACACUGUUCUGCAUGAAGUCCCCCCUACCCAAGCAGCACCGGUCUCCACUCCUGUCCCAGCUGCUGAACCCCCAGGGGAAAACCUGCUCUCACGGACCCUUCAGAACAGCCUCUAAAAUACAGGGCUGCAGGAACUCGCUGUCUGCCUUUCAGACUUUUCAUAAGAAGCACUCCCUGGAAGAGUCUCAGCAGUCAUGUGUCCCUAGGACAAAUGUCCUGAAAUAUGAGCAGACUUCAAAGCUGACAAGCCCAGUACCUGCUCCACUGCAGACUGCAUCAAAGGAUUGCAUUGAAACUUACUGCAAACAUGGAAAUGGAGUGGUGUGUGUACGUGUACACGAGCACAGACUGCGUGUUACAAAGAGAGUUACAGGUGGAAGCUGAAACAGUGCGGGUUCUUCACGCCUGUCAUUUGGCUUCAUUGGACAGCCUUGAAGAACCUCCUAGCUGAAAGAAUGCUGAGGAACACUCCUUUCUCUGGAUCUCCUUUUCUCUCUCCUAGCCCAUCUCUCUCCCCGGCUUCCAUUCUCACAAAGUGAACUGUGGCAUAUGAUCAAGCUCAGCCAUGGAAAGUGUCAGCUGCUGUUCGUGGGGAAAUUGUUUCCUUACUUUAGAGCAGCUUUUGCAGGAGCCACAGAACCUUGGCAGUCUUGUCUUCCAGUUGUAUUUGACAUGUAUUUGAGACCACUGUGUUAACUUUUCAUCAUGAUUAAAAGGAAUAAUUCGAA